rnacentral:rRNA from 1 species
GAUGAACGCUGGCGGCGUGCCUAAUACAUGCAAGUCGAGCGAACGGACGAGAAGCUUGCUUCUCUGAUGUUAGCGGCGGACGGGUGAGUAACACGUGGAUAACCUACCUAUAAGACUGGGAUAACUUCGGGAAACCGGAGCUAAUACCGGAUGAUAUUUUGAACCGCAUGGUUCAAAAGUGAAAGACGGUCUUGCUGUCACUUAUAGAUGGAUCCGCGCUGCAUUAGCUAGUUGGUAAGGUAACGGCUUACCAAGGCAACGAUGCAUAGCCGACCUGAGAGGGGGAACAGGCACACGGGAACUGAGACACGGUCCAGACUCCUACGGGAGGCAGCAGGGGGGAAUAUUGCACAAUGGGGGGAAGCCUGACCGAGCCAAACCGCGUGGGGGAAGAAGGGCUUCGGGUUGUAAAACCCUUUUGUUGGGGAAGAAAAGUAGGUGGAAAAAACUGCGCUGUUCUGACGGUACCCAAAGAAGAAGCCCCGGCUAACUUCGUG